GGAGCAGCAAAGCGUAUUCAACCCCUCUUGAAAUAUUUAGAUUGUGCCAAACUACAACACAGACCAACACAAAUGUAGUGCAAGUAGACAAAAAAAAAAGGUCUCUGAUGACAGAAACUGUUUGUUGAAGUGGCACAAAUAAUUUUUGCAUUAUCUUUUGUGGGGAAAUAUUCACUGGCUGUAAAUUCUGAUUGUUUGUCUUUGAGUGUUGGACUGUUCACAUGUGGAAUGGAUGUUUGAUUCAUGUUUAGAAGAUUAAACAGUUUUAGUCGUUUGAGAUCUCAGGUUUGUUUUGAUUCUGUUUUUUCCUGAAAGGAGGAAGACUUGCUGUCAGUUUGAGUCACAUCCUGACUGGACGAUGUUUUAGAUGUAUUGUGAAGGUCUUGUGUGAAUGAAUGAUACAUUUUAUCUGCUUUCAAAAGGGUGGAAAUCAAGAAAUUUUACUUUAGAUUCUGUAUUUUCUUACAUGCAUGUAACGGUUAAUGAUUAGGUAAAAAUAGAGCAGACUGUAAGCUGGACAUCAACAGAUGGGUGCAAGUCAGAGUCAUGCACCAGCUGUAGGAAUGUACAGGUCAUCUUGAGUGUGUGAGGAGAGAGAGAGGGAGAGAGAGAGAGAGAGAGAGAGAGAGAGAGAGGACUACGAGGAGCUCAGAGUCUGACAGAACGAUGACAUUUCCUCUUGUGUGGGACUGUGUGUUGAGGCAAAAAAA